rnacentral:rRNA from 1 species
GGGUUGUGAGGUUAAGCGACUAAGCGUACACGGUGGAUGCCCUGGCAGUCAGAGGCGAUGAAGGGCGUGCUAAUCUGCGAUAAGCGCCGGUAAGGUGAUAUGAACCGUUAUAACCGGCGAUACCCGAAUGGGGAAACCCAGUGUGAUUCGUCACACUAUCAUUAACUGAAUCCAUAGGUUAAUGAGGCGAACCGGGGGAACUGAAACAUCUAAGUACCCCGAGGAAAAGAAAUCAACCGAGAUUCCCCCAGUAGCGGCGAGCGAACGGGGAGGAGCCCAGAGCCUGAAUCAGCAUGUGUGUUAGUGGAAGCGUCUGGAAAGGCGCGCGAUACAGGGUGACAGCCCCGUACACAAAAGCGCAUGUGCUGUGAGCUCGAUGAGUAGGGCGGGACACGUGGUAUCCUGUCUGAAUAUGGGGGGACCAUCCUCCAAGGCUAAAUACUCCUGACUGACCGAUAGUGAACCAGUACCGUGAGGGAAAGGCGAAAAGAACCCCGGCGAGGGGAGUGAAAAAGAACCUGAAACCGUGUACGUACAAGCAGUGGGAGCCCCACCACUAAGCCAGUGGUGAACUCCACAUACGCAUCCUUUGCUGAGGAUACGGUUAACGGAGCGAAAGCGACGUUCAACCUCAAAAGAAGCAGAGGGGGCUUAGUGGUGGGGUGACUGCGUACCUUUUGUAUAAUGGGUCAGCGACUUAUAUUCUGUAGCAAGGUUAACCGAAUAGGGGAGCCGGAGGGAAACCGAGUCUUAAUUGGGCGUUAAGUUGCAGGGUAUAGACCCGAAACCCGGUGAUCUAGCCAUGGGCAGGUUGAAGGUUGGGUAACACUAACUGGAGGACCGAACCGACUAAUGUUGAAAAAUUAGCGGAUGACCUGUGGCUGGGGGUGAAAGGCCAAUCAAACCGGGAGAUAGCUGGUUCUCCCCGAAAGCUAUUUAGGUAGCGCCUCGUGAACUCAUCUCCGGGGGUAGAGCACUGUUUCGGCUAGGGGGCCAUCCCGGCUUACCAACCCGAUGCAAACUGCGAAUACCGGAGAAUGUUAUCACGGGAGACACACGGCGGGUGCUAACGUCCGUCGUGAAGAGGGAAACAACCCAGACCGCCAGCUAAGGUCCCAAAGUCAUGGUUAAGUGGGAAACGAUGUGGGAAGGCCCAGACAGCCAGGAUGUUGGCUUAGAAGCAGCCAUCAUUUAAAGAAAGCGUAAUAGCUCACUGGUCGAGUCGGCCUGCGCGGAAGAUGUAACGGGGCUAAACCAUGCACCGAAGCUGCGGCAGCGAACGUAUCACCCAAGACAACUUUACGGAGUUGACGAUUGACGGAGCGAAGCGACGUCAAAGCGUUCAUUAAAGUCGAGUUGGCUUAGGGAUACGUUCGUUGGGUAGGGGAGCGUUCUGUAAGCCUGUGAAGGUGGCCUGUGAGGGUUGCUGGAGGUAUCAGAAGUGCGAAUGCUGACAUAAGUAACGAUAAAGCGGGUGAAAAGCCCGCUCGCCGGAAGACCAAGGGUUCCUGUCCAACGUUAAUCGGGGCAGGGUGAGUCGACCCCUAAGGCGAGGCCGAAAGGCGUAGUCGAUGGGAAACGGGUUAAUAUUCCCGUACUUGGUGUUACUGCGAAGGGGGGACGGAGAAGGCUAUGUUGGCCGGGCGACGGUUGUCCCGGUUUAAGCGUGUAGGCUGGUUUUCCAGGCAAAUCCGGAAAAUCAAGGCUGAGGCGUGACGACGAGGCACUACGGUGCUGAAGCAACAAAUGCCCUGCUUCCAGGAAAAGCCUCUAAGCAUCAGGUAACAUCAAAUCGUACCCCAAACCGACACAGGUGGUCAGGUAGAGAAUACCAAGGCGCUUGAGAGAACUCGGGUGAAGGAACUAGGCAAAAUGGUGCCGUAACUUCGGGAGAAGGCACGCUGACACGUAGGUGAAGUGAUUUACUCAUGGAGCUGAAGUCAGUCGAAGAUACCAGCUGGCUGCAACUGUUUAUUAAAAACACAGCACUGUGCAAACACGAAAGUGGACGUAUACGGUGUGACGCCUGCCCGGUGCCGGAAGGUUAAUUGAUGGGGUCAGCGCAAGCGAAGCUCCUGAUCGAAGCCCCGGUAAACGGCGGCCGUAACUAUAACGGUCCUAAGGUAGCGAAAUUCCUUGUCGGGUAAGUUCCGACCUGCACGAAUGGCGUAAUGAUGGCCAGGCUGUCUCCACCCGAGACUCAGUGAAAUUGAACUCGCUGUGAAGAUGCAGUGUACCCGCGGCAAGACGGAAAGACCCCGUGAACCUUUACUAUAGCUUGACACUGAACAUUGAGCCUUGAUGUGUAGGAUAGGUGGGAGGCUUUGAAGUGUGGACGCCAGUCUGCAUGGAGCCGACCUUGAAAUACCACCCUUUAAUGUUUGAUGUUCUAACGUGGACCCGUUACCCGGGUUGCGGACAGUGUCUGGUGGGUAGUUUGACUGGGGCGGUCUCCUCCUAAAGAGUAACGGAGGAGCACGAAGGUUGGCUAAUCCUGGUCGGACAUCAGGAGGUUAGUGCAAUGGCAUAAGCCAGCUUGACUGCGAGCGUGACGGCGCGAGCAGGUGCGAAAGCAGGUCAUAGUGAUCCGGUGGUUCUGAAUGGAAGGGCCAUCGCUCAACGGAUAAAAGGUACUCCGGGGAUAACAGGCUGAUACCGCCCAAGAGUUCAUAUCGACGGCGGUGUUUGGCACCUCGAUGUCGGCUCAUCACAUCCUGGGGCUGAAGUAGGUCCCAAGGGUAUGGCUGUUCGCCAUUUAAAGUGGUACGCGAGCUGGGUUUAGAACGUCGUGAGACAGUUCGGUCCCUAUCUGCCGUGGGCGCUGGAGAACUGAGGGGGGCUGCUCCUAUUACGAGAGGACCGGAGUGGACGCAUCACUGGUGUUCGGGUUGUCAUGCCAAUGGCACUGCCCGGUAGCUAAAUGCGGAAGAGAUAAGUGCUGAAAGCAUCUAAGCACGAAACUUGCCCCGAGAUGAGUUCUCCCUGAGACUUAGAGUCUCCUGAAGGAACGUUGAAGACGACGACGUUGAUAGGCCGGGUGUGUAAGCGCAGCGAUGCGUUGAGCUAACCGGUACUAAUGAACCGUGAGGCUUAACCUUACAACGCCGAAG